AAGUCGUAACAAGGUUUCCGUAGGUGAACCUGCGGAAGGAUCAUUACAGAAUAAACUUGAUAAACUGUUGCUGGCUCUCUUUGGAGUAAUGUGCACGUUUAUCAUUUUUAUAUUUCCACCUGUGCACCCAUUUGUAGUUCUGGGAAAUUCUUUAAGCAACUGAAGUCCUUUAACGGUCUUAGUUGUAUUUGAAGGACUGCUGUGCUUUGGUUGUCUAGAAGCCAGCUUUCCUUUAUAAUUUCCAGACCUAUGUAUUUUACAUAUACUCCAGUAUGUUAAAGAAUGCAAUAUCAAGGCCUAUCAUAGCCUAUAUAAACAAUAUACAACUUUCAGCAACGGAUCUCUUGGCUCUCA
rnacentral:misc_RNA from 1 species